rnacentral:rRNA from 1 species
UACGAAGGGGGCUAGCGUUGCUCGGAAUCACUGGGCGUAAAGGGUGCGUAGGCGGGUCUUUAAGUCAGGGGUGAAAUCCUGGAGCUCAACUCCAGAACUGCCUUUGAUACUGAGGAUCUUGAGUUCGGGAGAGGUGAGUGGAACUGCGAGUGUAGAGGUGAAAUUCGUAGAUAUUCGCAAGAACACCAAUUGCGAAGGCAGCUCGCUGGGACGUUACUGACGCUGAGGAGCGAAAGCGUGGGGAGCGAACAGG